rnacentral:ncRNA from 1 species
AUAGAACCGUUGAUGGAGCAUAGUAAUCAACCCAAAAGCCAUGUUCAGAGAGGGAGGGUCCCGGGCUGAAAGCCUUCCCGCAUGCAGGAUUGAUGAAUGAACACUCCGGAGGUUUCCCCCUGAAAAAUGCAGUAGGGGGUGAACGUUGCAGGCGUUAACUGUAAAUGAGGAAGCCCAGAUUUAUGGGUUUCAAUUAGGGUGGCACCACGGGAAUCAAAACUCUCGUCCCUUGU